rnacentral:rRNA from 1 species
GACGAACGCUGGCGGCGUGCCUAAUACAUGCAAGUCGAACGCAGUGGGGACGGGUGAGUAACACGUGGGUAACCUCCCAUCAGAGGGGAUAACCCUUGGCAACAGGUGCUAAACCGAUACUGGUUGAUGGACCCGCGGUGCAUUGGCUAGUUGGUGGGGUAACGGCUCAACAAGGCCACGAUGCAUAGCCGGCCUGAGAGGGUGAUCGGCCACACGGGGACUGAGAAACGGCCCAGACUCCUACGGGAGGCAGAAGUAGGGAAUCUUCGGCAAUGGACGAAAGUCUGACCGAGCAACGCCGCGUGAGUGAAGAAGGUUUUCGGAUCGUAAAGCUCUGUUGUUAGAGAAGCGGUAUCUAACCAGAAAGCAACGGCUAACUACGUGCCAGCAGCCGCGGUAAUAC